GAGGCUGUUCGUUAGGGCGUACAACACCACCUCUUCUGAGAUCCCCUCAAUCUUCUGCACCUCGCUCGCGAACCGGUCCAUGUACGUGCGCGUGCUCUCCGAUUCUCCCUGUAUGACGGUACUGAGGGCGGCCUUGAUUUUCGGCCUUCUUCGGCGGUGCGCGAAAGCCGCCCGGAAUACCGCCACUAAGCCUUCGUAGGUGUGCACGG
rnacentral:lncRNA from 1 species